AUUGAACGCUGGCGGAAUGCUUUACACAUGCAAGUCGAGCGGCAGCGCGGGGGCAACCCUGGCGGCGAGCGGCGAACGGGUGAGUAAUGCAUCGGAACGUACCCAUUUGUGGGGGAUAACUGUCCGAAAGGACAGCUAAUACCGCAUAAGUCCUGAGGGAGAAAGCGGGGGAUCGCAAGACCUCGCGCGAAUGGAGCGGCCGAUGCCGGAUUAGCUAGUUGGUAGGGUAAAGGCCUACCAAGGCGACGAUCCGUAGCUGGUCUGAGAGGACGAUCAGCCACACUGGGACUGAGACACGGCCCAGACUCCUACGGGAGGCAGAAGUGGGGAAUUUUGGACAAUGGGCGAAAGCCUGAUCCAGCAAUGCCGCGUGUGUGAAGAAGGCCUUCGGGUUGUAAAGCACUUUUGUCCGGAAGGAAAUGGCUCUGGUUAAUACCUGGGGUCGAUGACGGUACCGGAAGAAUAAGGACCGGCUAACUACGUGCCAGCAGCCGCCGUAA
rnacentral:rRNA from 1 species